GGAGUUCAUUCGAUCUCAUCGAUAUCGUAGCUGUGUGAGGUUGAGAGGCAUUAGGAAAAAAUUUCAGCGAUCGAGGAUAGACCAAAUAGCCGCCAAAGCCAGUCAAUUUGCAAGGCAUGGAUUGAUCAUGGGCAUUUGCCGAGCAUUCUAACAUGGAUAAUUUUUUUUAGACAAAGAGUUUAACGAUUUGCCUGGUCAAAUUGCCCUUGUGAUGCGGUAUACACUAGCAUGAGUCACUUAGCACGGU
rnacentral:lncRNA from 1 species